UUUCCGUAGGUGAACCUCCGGAAGGAUCAUUAUUGUUUAACCGAGGUGCGAGGGCUGUCGCUGACCCGAAAGGUCGUGCACGCCCGAGUGCCCUCACACACAUCCAUCUCACCCCUAUGUGCACCACCGCGUGGGUCCCCCUUUGGCUUGUUCGGAGGGGGGCUUACGUUUUCACACAAACUUUGUAUGCAGUGUAGAAUGUAUUUUUUGUUUUUGCGAUCACGCAAUCAAUACAACUUUCAACAACGGAUCUCUUGGCUCUC
rnacentral:misc_RNA from 1 species